CGUCAGGUAGCUUAGUGGGUUUAGAGCAAUCGCAAGCGAGAGACCCGAGUUCAAUUCCCGGUCUAGCGA
rnacentral:tRNA from 1 species